AUUGAACGCUGGCGGCAGGCUUAACACAUGCAAGUCGAGCGGAGCGAGGGUGCUUGCACCUUAGCUUAGCGGCGGACGGGUGAGUAAUGCUUAGGAAUCUGCCUAUUAGUGGGGGACAACAUUCCGAAAGGAAUGCUAAUACCGCAUACGCCCUACGGGGCAAAGCAGGGGAUCUUCGGAACUUGCGCUAAUAGAUGAGCCUAGGUCGGAUUAGCUAGUUGGUGGGGUAAAGGCCUACCAAGGCGACGAUCUGUAGCGGGUCUGAGAGGAUGAUCCGCCACACUGGGACUGAGACACGGCCCAGACUCCUACGGGAGGCAGCAGUGGGGAAUAUUGGACAAUGGGCGGAAGCCUGAUCCAGCCAUGCCGCGUGUGUGAAGAAGGCCUUUUGGUUGUAAAGCACUUUAAGCGAGGAGGAGGCUCUUAAGGUUAAUACCCUUGAUGAGUGGACGUUACUCGCAGAAUAAGCACCGGCUAACUCUGUGCCAGCCGCCGCCGUAAAAC
rnacentral:rRNA from 1 species